CUUCUCUCGCGUUUGGGCGGUCGGUUUGAAGUGGCAGCGCCGCGUCGGUCUUGCUAGGCCGCCCUCUUGCUAGCUCCAGCGUGACACCGGGUAUGGACGUUUCGCCCGCGGCCGCUUGCCGCCGCCGCCGCCGCCGCCGCUCACCGGGCGUUUCACAGCCGCGGCCGGCCUUCGCCUGAGGGAAAAUGACUCUGUGGAGAACAGUUGCCACCGGCCGUUGCUCCCGGCGCUACACCCCUGCAGUCAGCUGUGCACUCCAGGCCCCGAAGCUAAAGUUUUGUGUCCUGCUAGGUUGUGGGCCGCUCGGCGCCACUGCAACCUUUCCCCCCCGACACUUCACUUCACUUCACUUCACUUCACUUCACUUCAGCGGAUGCUGGGCAGAUGACGGUAUUACACAGAACUGAGCAAACAGCAUCAGACCGCACAGUGGUAUAACGCAUACCGCAUGACAUCAACAACAACAACAGAUCGGAGCAAUCCAUGCCUGCAACUUACUACGGAGGAUAAUAUGAGGCACCAUAACAUCUCCCGCAGAGAGAGAUAAACCUUUAGCUGUAGUUCUACAAGAUGCUGCUGCGUAUAUGGCGACACCUUCCAGCGGGGAUUACCACACCGUGUGCUCUGGCUCUCCCACUGCGCCUGGUAAUGAAGGAGAGCUGUGGAGACUGGAGGCGCGGGCGGCAGGUCGCUCUCCACCAGAGUUUGCACGGCAGACGAUAAAGCUUGGACGUGACUGUCUUACCUGAGAUUAAAACUGUCUGAGAGACACACGCACACACACACAGAGAGAGAGAGAGAGAGAGGGGGCUAGUGGUCUUUAUGCACUUGUUCAGUCAACCUGCUUGUGCAAUUUAACAGCAAAUCACUGGCUAACAGUCCAGGAAAUCAAAGGAAAACUAUGACAAAAAAGGUUGCUUUUCAAGUGUCACUUCUGUGCUGUGUUUCAACUAAGUAACGUGCAAAGCCGCGCCUAAAGCUAAACAGUUGAAUUGUUUUCUCCGCAAACAUAUAGCCAAAGUAUUUGGAGCUCAAGUCUUUGUCAUUUCCAUAGUUUUGUUUCCAAACAAACAAACAAAAAAACAACAAAAACCCAAAAAACAAAACCUUAAUCUAAUAUCGGAAAUCUGAGAUCUGGAUCAACACCAAAUCUGUUGUUUCUUGGCUCAGGACCUCUGUGUCAACAAAAUGUCAUAGAAAUUUGUUCAGAUUUUUUUUUAGGUUUUAUUAACAUGAUAAUCAUUAUCGUUGGGACAUUGCUCUUCCCAGUCACUUGCAGAUGCACCGUCAGAUUGGAUAUUGCUUUAACGAGUACAGAAUAGGUAAAUAAUAGCACACGGGAUGUAGAUAUCAUGGGAUUGUGACCAGAACUUGGAUUCUAAUGGUUAGCUAGAGCCUUGCCUCAUCGGAAUCUUGUUCCCUAAGCAGAUACCCAGCAAACGCCGACGGUAAAGAAAAGUGUUAACGGAAGACGAACUUCCGAUUCAUCAAAUUAAAAUUGCCAUUCAUCAUCAUCGUCAGUUCUGUGUAAGCACUGAUACCAUACGUUAAUGAAAGCAUGUGGGAUGUUGAGCCUAUAGGCUUUGAUGUGUAACAGGUGCAGAAUGACUGUUGAAAAACUAUGUGACUCUUGACAAAGAAUUCCCACCUGGGUCGUGUGUAACUAUAUUGUCCAGGAGUAAUAAG